CAUAUCAUAUUGAAACACCAGUCCUUGUACACUCACCAAAGUUAAGUAAUGUUGAGCCUGGUCAGUACUUAGAUGGGUGACCAUUUGGGAAUACCAGCUGCUGUAAG